rnacentral:rRNA from 1 species
CGAGCGGCGAACGGGUGAGUAACACGUGGGUGAUCUGCCUUGCACUUCGGGAUAAGCCUGGGAAACUGGGUCUAAUACCGGAUAUGACCACGAACUGCAUGGUUUGUGGUGGAAAGAUUUAUCGGUGCGAGAUGGGCCCGCGGCCUAUCAGCUUGUUGGUGAGGUAACGGCCCACCAAGGCGACGACGGGUAGCCGACCUGAGAGGGUGACCGGCCACACUGGGACUGAGACACGGCCCAGACUCCUACGGGAGGCAGCAGUGGGGAAUAUUGCACAAUGGGCGAAAGCCUGAUGCAGCGACGCCGCGUGCGGGAUGACGGCCUUCGGGUUGUAAACCGCUUUUGACAGGGACGAAGCGCAAGUGACUGUACCUGUAGAAUAAGGACCGGCCAACUACGUGCCAGCAGCCGCGGUAAUACGUAGGGUCCGAGCGUUGUCCGGAAUUACUGGGCGUAAAGAGCUUGUAGGCGGUUCGUCGCGUCGUUUGUGAAAACUUGGGGCUCAACCUUAAGCUUGCAGGCGAUACGGGCGGACUAGAGUACUUCAGGGGAGACUGGAAUUCCUGGUGUAGCGGUGAAAUGCGCAGAUAUCAGGAGGAACACCGGUGGCGAAGGCGGGUCUCUGGGAAGUAACUGACGCUGAGAAGCGAAAGCAUGGGUAGCAAACAGGAUUAGAUACCCUGGUAGUCCAUGCCGUAAACGGUGGGUACUAGGUGUGGGGCUCCUUCCACGGACUCCGUGCCGUAGCUAACGCAUUAAGUACCCCGCCUGGGGAGUACGGCCGCAAGGCUAAAACUCAAAGAAAUUGACGGGGGCCCGCACAAGCGGCGGAGCAUGUGGAUUAAUUCGAUGCAACGCGAAGAACCUUACCUGGGUUUGACAUACACCGGAAACCUGCAGAGAUGUAGGCCCCCUUGUGGUCGGUGUACAGGUGGUGCAUGGCUGUCGUCAGCUCGUGUCGUGAGAUGUUGGGUUAAGUCCCGCAACGAGCGCAACCCUUAUCUUAUGUUGCCAGCGCGUAAUGGCGGGGACUCGUGAGAGACUGCCGGGGUCAACUCGGAGGAAGGUGGGGACGACGUCAAGUCAUCAUGCCCCUUAUGUCCAGGGCUUCACACAUGCUACAAUGGCCGGUACAGAGGGCUGCGAUACCGCGAGGUGGAGCGAAUCCCUUAAAGCCGGUCUCAGUUCGGAUCGGGGUCUGCAACUCGACCCCGUGAAGUUGGAGUCGCUAGUAAUCGCAGAUCAGCAACGCUGCGGUGAAUACGUUCCCGGGCCUUGUACACACCGCCCGUCACGUCAUGAAAGUCGGUAACACCCGA